GUUAAAAUUUGACCUAGUCAUUUCUGGGAAGAAAAUUUCUGUAAAAGUUAACAGACGACAGAUGACAGAAGCCAAGUGAUGAAAAAAGCUCACUUGGUCCUAUGGGGCAGGUGAGCUAAAAAUGGUAUAUAAGACUAGAAACACAAAAAAAUAAUUUAUUUUCAUAAAUAAAAUAUCACAAUAGUACAAAUAUCACAGUGUGAAUCAACAAGGCAUCAACAAGAAAGUUUAUUUUUUAAAGGGUCUCAAUGGGGGGAUAGUAGCUGAGAAACAUCCUCUUAUUUGAAAAUCUAGCGUUAAUCUUUAAAUGGCAUAACUAAAUUUGUAGUCAACUUAUAAAUACUUUUUUUUUUAAACAAUCUAACAAAUGUUAUUACCUUUAUUUUGGACACAUGUAAUGUUUCAGAGUAUGAAAAACCAAUAUAAAUAAUAAACAGGGAUCAAAACAUAUUUGAACAUUUAUUUAUACUAACAAAUUUAAAUCAAAAGCAAUGUGGAAGGUUGAUGAUUGUGGGAAUUAUGGCAUUACAUUUUGUAAAACCAAUGAAGUUGCUCGUACAAAAUCAGGC
rnacentral:lncRNA from 1 species